UGGGGAAUUUUGCGCAAUGGGCGCAAGCCUGACGCAGCAACGCCGCGUGGAGGAUGAAGGUCUUCGGAUCGUAAACUCCUGUCAGGGGGGACGAAUACCUUAACCGGUUUGACUGUACCCCCUGAGGAAGCCACGGCUAACUCCGUGCCAGCAGCCGCGGUAAUACGGAGGUGGCAAGCGUUGUUCGGAAUUACUGGGCGUAAAGGGCGCGUAGGCGGCUUGGCAAGUCAGAUGUGAAAGCCCCGGGCUUAACUCGGGAAUUGCAUCUGAAACUGCUUUGCUUGAGUCCUGGAGGGGGUAGUGGAAUUCCCAGUGUAGCGGUGAAAUGCGUAGAUAUUGGGAGGAACACCUGCGGCGAAGGCGGCUACCUGGACAGUGACUGACGCUGAUGCGCGAAAGCUAGGGGAGCAAACGGG
rnacentral:rRNA from 1 species